GCCGGGUGUGGUGGCUCACGCCUGUAAUCCCAGCACUUUGGGAGGCUGAGACGGGUGGAUCACUUGAGGUCAGGAGUUCGAGACCAGCCUGGCCAACAUGGCGAAACCCCGUCUCUA
rnacentral:sRNA from 1 species